GAGCCUGUAGCUCAGCUGGUAGAGCAGCGGACUUUUAAUCCGUUGGCCGGGAGUUCGAUUCUCCCCAGGCUCACGA
rnacentral:tRNA from 1 species